rnacentral:rRNA from 1 species
UACGUAGGGACCAAGCGUUGUUCGGAUUUACUGGGCGUAAAGGGCGCGUAGGCGGCAAUUCAAGUCAGUUGUGAAAUCUCCGAGCUUAACUCGGAACGGUCAACUGAUACUGCUUUGCUAGAGUACAGAAGGGGCAACUGGAAUUCUCGGUGUAGCGGUGAAAUGCGUAGAUAUCGAGAGGAACACCUGCGGCGAAGGCGGGUUGCUGGGCUGACACUGACGCUGAUGCGCGAAAGCUAGGGGAGCGAACGGG